AAUUAGCCCUGGGUGCAGCGGUACCCUGCAGGCUGAGGUACGAAGCCGAAGCGUACAAGCGGAACACGGGAAUUACG
rnacentral:ncRNA from 2 species